rnacentral:rRNA from 1 species
GAUGAACGCUGGCGGCGUGCCUAAUACAUGCAAGUCGAGCGAACAGACGAGGAGCUUGCUCCUUUGACGUUAGCGGCGGACGGGUGAGUAACACGUGGGUAACCUACCUAUAAGACUGGGAUAACUUCGGGAAACCGGAGCUAAUACCGGCUAAUAUUUCGAACCGCAUGGUUCGAUAGUGAAAGAUGGCUUUGCUAUCACUUAUAGAUGGACCUGCGCCGUAUUAGCUAGUUGGUAAGGUAACGGCUUACCAAGGCAACGAUACGUAGCCGACCUGAGAGGGUGAUCGGCCACACUGGAACUGAGACACGGUCCAGACUCCUACGGGAGGCAGCAGUAGGGAAUCUUCCGCAAUGGGCGAAAGCCUGACGGAGCAACGCCGCGUGAGUGAUGAAGGUCUUCGGAUCGUAAAACUCUGUUAUUAGGGAAGAACAAACGUGUAAGUAACUGUGCACGUCUUGACGGUACCUAAUCAGAAAGCCACGGCUAACUACGUG